rnacentral:rRNA from 1 species
CCUACGGGAGGCAGCAGUGAGGAAUAUUGGACAAUGGAGGCAACUCUGAUCCAGCCAUGCCGCGUGCAGGAAGACGGCCCUACGGGUUGUAAACUGCUUUUAUACAGGAAGAAUUAUACCUACGUGUAGGUAUUUGACGGUAUUGUAAGAAUAAGGAUCGGCUAACUCCGUGCCAGCAGCCGCGGUAAUACGGAGGAUCCAAGCGUUAUCCGGAAUUAUUGGGUUUAAAGGGUCCGUAGGCGGUUUUUUAAGUCAGAGGUGAAAUCCUGCAGCUCAACUGUAGCAUUGCCUUUGAUACUGAAAGACUUGAGUUAUUGUGAAGUAGUUAGAAUGUGUAGUGUAGCGGUGAAAUGCAUAGAUAUUACACAGAAUACCGAUUGCGAAAGCAGAUUACUAACAAUAUACUGACGCUGAGGGACGAAAGCGUGGGUAGCGAACAGGAUUAGAUACCCUGGUAGUCCACGCCGUAAACGAUGGAUACUAGCUGUUCGAUCAACACUGGUUGAUUGAGUGGUUAAGCGAAAGUGAUAAGUAUCCCACCUGGGGAGUACGCUCGCAAGAGUGAAACUCAAAGGAAUUGACGG